rnacentral:rRNA from 1 species
UACAGAGGUGGCAAGCGUUGUUCGGAAUUACUGGGCGUAAAGGGCGCGUAGGCGGCCUCGCAAGUCCCGUGUGAAAUCCCUCGGCUCAACUGAGGAAUGGCACGGGAAACUGCGGGGCUUGAGUUCGGGAGAGGGAAGCGGAAUUCCGGGUGUAGCGGUGAAAUGCGUAGAUAUCAGGAAGAACACCUAUGGCGAAGGCAGCUCUCUGGGACGGUACUGACGCUGAGACGCGAAAGCGUGGGGAGCGAACAGG